rnacentral:lncRNA from 7 species
UUUUCUUGUUUAUAGGAAGAGUGCUCUGCCUGGGCUCCUUUACCGUGGCUAUUUAAUGGCUGAAAAACUGAAAAAAGAACUAUGUUUUCUUCACAAGCUGCGACCUUCCUAAAGAAGCAAGGUCAUGUCCAGUAUCAGUUAAAUAUAUGGCACUACGCCUAUCAAGACUUUUGGAUCUUGCAGUUCCAGGGGCAGAUUUCAACACACGCAGUCCUUUACUAAUAUUAAAUAGCAAAAUUGCCUUAAGGAUCAUUAAAACCGUUGUGAUUUUUUUGUGCAUCUGCUGUUUGUCUCUCAGUGGAAUCUGACCUCUCCUUGCUUUGUGUGCCUUGAAGGGCUUCCUGCAGUCUAGAGAGGAGGUUGGUGCAGUAUCCUCCUGCAGACAAAGUCCCCGCUGCGUUCUUAAAGACAGUGAUGUAGCACCUUUGGUGGGCGUCUGCUGACAGCCUCAGAGGAUGGAGUUGAGGUCACUGCCCCAGUACAUGCACUGUGCGGACCUCCCGAUGUUGUCUUACCUCUCUUUGAAUGGCAAAUACUGCCACCGGCGGACAAUGCGGCGGUUAUCGGAGCGAAAGGGGCAGAACAACCUGUAGCACUGUCUGUCUCAGGAUCUUGCACCCCUUUAGAUACUCAAUGGGAGUCUCUGUUUUAUAGAAACUGAAAGAAGUAUCUCUGUGAUGUUUGUAUUUACAUCAGCACCUAGAUGUCUUGUGUGACCUCAGUGAAACCAUGGUUUAUUUCAUGAAUAUGGGAGGCCUGCUCUGGCUGUUCUUUCAUAAGUGGAGGCCAUACUUGAUGCACCAGCUGUUUGUAAUGAAGGGUUCAGAAGUUCAUUCCUGCACUCUUUGUAUAUAUAUCUAUCUAUGCAUAUGUAUUUUUGUAUGUAUACGUGUAAAAUCCUGUGGUCUGUG